AUAAAGAUGGCAGAAAAGUGCAUUAGGCUUAGGACCUAAAUAUAAAGAUUCUCAAGUUCUUUUCUUUAUA
rnacentral:tRNA from 1 species